UACGUAGGCAGCGAGCGUUGUUCGGAGUUACUGGGCGUAAAGAGUGCGUAGGCGGUUUUCUAAGUUUGGUGUGAAAUCUCCCGGCUUAACUGGGAGGGUGCGCCGAAAACUGGAAGGCUUGAGUAUGGGAGAGGUAAGCGGAAUUCCUGGUGUAGCGGUGAAAUGCGUAGAUAUUGGGAGGAACACCAGUGGCGAAGGCGGCUACCUGGACCGGUUCUGACGCUGAGGCGCGAAAGCGUGGGGAGCAAACAGG
rnacentral:rRNA from 1 species